rnacentral:misc_RNA from 1 species
UCUCCGUAGGUGAACCUGCGGAGGGAUCAUUACAGAGUUCAUGCCCUCACGGGUCGAUCUCCCACCCUGUGUUAUUAUACUUUGUUGCUUUGGCAGGCCGCCCGCGUGGGCUACCGGCUCCAGCUGGUAAGUGCCUGCCAGAGGACCCCAAACUCUGAAUAUUUUAUUGUCUGAGUACUAUAUAAUAGUUUAAAACUCUCAACAACGGAUCUCUUGGUUCUG